AUGUUUCUGCGUGUAGCUUUUUGAUCUGCAAGUGCUGCCAUCAUUCACUGUUGGUUCAAUUUCAGAGCUGCCGAAGUCGUUUUUCGUUUUGAGUGGCCGAGGAAAUCUCCAACUGUCGAUCGAUGGCUACGUGUUCACGCAAGAGCUGGUCAAGAACAACGACAUAGAUUGGGCUUGUUCGCAAUCAAAAGUUUUGCGCUGUAAAGUUCGCGCGACGACAUCUCGUGAAAAAGAUCGCAAAGUGCUCUCAAUUCGAGGCGAACACAAUCACGGGAUAAUUACUGAACGUCGGAAAAACGGUGCCUUGAAGGCUCUGCUGGAACAACGCAAGAAAGAGCGCGAUGAUCGACGAAUGAGAUUGGGUGGAGUCUUUUCAUCAGUAAUCUAGAUAACUGUAUUGAUUAAAUGAAUACUACACGAUAAUAAUGAAUUGCUAGAUUAUAAUUUGAGUGGAGUAAUAGAUUUGUUGGAGGUUUCACCUCUACUUACUUA